rnacentral:rRNA from 1 species
AGAGUUUGAUCCUGGCUCAGGAUGAACGCUAGCUACAGGCUUAACACAUGCAAGUCGAGGGGAAACGACAUCGAAAGCUUGCUUUUGAUGGGCGUCGACCGGCGCACGGGUGAGUAACGCGUAUCCAACCUGCCCACCACUUGGGGAUAACCUUGCGAAAGUAAGACUAAUACCCAAUGAUAUCUCUAGAAGACAUCUGAAGGAGAUUAAAGAUUUAUCGGUGAUGGAUGGGGAUGCGUCUGAUUAGCUUGUUGGCGGGGUAACGGCCCACCAAGGCAACGAUCAGUAGGGGUUCUGAGAGGAAGGUCCCCCACAUUGGAACUGAGACACGGUCCAAACUCCUACGGGAGGCAGCAGUGAGGAAUAUUGGUCAAUGGGCGAGAGCCUGAACCAGCCAAGUAGCGUGCAGGACGACGGCCCUAUGGGUUGUAAACUGCUUUUAUAAGGGAAUAAAGUGAGUCUCGUGAGACUUUUUGCAUGUACCUUAUGAAUAAGGACCGGCUAAUUCCGUGCCAGCAGCCGCGGUAAUACGGAAGGUCCGGGCGUUAUCCGGAUUUAUUGGGUUUAAAGGGAGCGUAGGCCGGAGAUUAAGCGUGUUGUGAAAUGUAGACGCUCAACGUCUGCACUGCAGCGCGAACUGGUUUCCUUGAGUACGCACAAAGUGGGCGGAAUUCGUGGUGUAGCGGUGAAAUGCUUAGAUAUCACGAAGAACUCCGAUUGCGAAGGCAGCUCACUGGAGCGCAACUGACGCUGAAGCUCGAAAGUGCGGGUAUCGAACAGGAUUAGAUACCCUGGUAGUCCGCACGGUAAACGAUGGAUGCCCGCUGUUGGCCUGAAUAGGUCAGCGGCCAAGCGAAAGCAUUAAGCAUCCCACCUGGGGAGUACGCCGGCAACGGUGAAACUCAAAGGAAUUGACGGGGGCCCGCACAAGCAGUGGAGUAUGUGGUUUAAUUCGAAGCAACGCGAAGAACCUUACCAGGUCUUGACAUCGAGUGACGUAUCCAGAGAUGGAUAUUCCCUUCGGGACACAAAGACAGGUGGUGCAUGGUUGUCGUCAGCUCGUGUCGUGAGAUGUUGGGUUAAGUCCCGCAACGAGCGCAACCCUUAUCAUUAGUUGCUACGCAAGAGCACUCUAAUGAGACUGCCGUUGACAAAACGGAGGAAGGUGGGGAUGACGUCAAAUCAUCAUGCCCCUUAUGACCUGGGCUACACACGUACUACAAUGGCGAUCGAACAGAGGGAAGCAAGACAGCGAUGUGGAGCCAAUCCCAAAAAAUCGCCCCAGUUCAGAUUGCAGGCUGCAACUCGCCUGCAUGAAGUCGGAAUUGCUAGUAAUCGCAGAUCAGCAUGCUGCGGUGAAUACGUUCCCGGGCCUUGUACACACCGCCCGUCACACCAUGGGAGUCGGUAACACCCAAAGCCGGUCGUCUAACCUUCGGGAGGACGCCGUCUAAGGUGGGAUUGAUGACUGGGGUGAAGUCGUAACAAGGUA